AUACUUACCUGGACGGGGUGAAUGACUGAUCAUGAAGGGUCCUGGCCUAGGUAAGUGGCUUCCAUUGCACUUUGGAAGGGUGCUCGCCUAAGAUCUGUCCUACGGGGCCGAGUCUACGUCGUAAUUUUUUCCUCAGGGGGUGUGCGUCCGCGCUGCCCCUGC